rnacentral:tRNA from 1 species
GCCCUGGUGGUGGAAUUGGUAGACACAAGGGAUUUAAAAUCCCUCGGCGUUCGCGCUGUGCCGGUUCAAGUCCGGCCUGGGGCA